rnacentral:rRNA from 1 species
GACGAACGCUGGCGGCGUGCUUAACACAUGCAAGUCGAACGGAAAGGCCCUGCUUUUGUGGGGUGCUCGAGUGGCGAACGGGUGAGUAACACGUGAGUAACCUGCCCUUGACUAUGGGAUAACUUCAGGAAACUGGGGCUAAUACCGGAUAGGAGCUCCUGCUGCAUGGGGGGGGGUGGAAAGUUUCGGCGGUUGGGGAUGGACUCGCGGCUUAUCAGCUUGUUGGUGGGGUAGUGGCUUACCAAGGCUUUGACGGGUAGCCGGCCUGAGAGGGUGACCGGCCACAUUGGGACUGGGAUACGGCCCAGACUCCUACGGGCGGCAGCAGUGGGGAAUAUUGCACAAUGGGCGGAAGCCUGAUGCAGCAACGCCGCGUGCGGGAUGACGGCCUUCGGGUUGUAAACCGCUUUCGCCUGUGACGAAGCGUGAGUGACGGUAAUGGGUAAAGAAGCACCGGCUAACUACGUG